AUCGUUCAUCUUUCCCCGCUAACACCACAGCUCGCAGGUCACCCUUGCAGCCGUUAGUUAGAAAGAAAGACGGAAGUAGGGAUUCUAGGUCAAUGUCGAUUUUGGGUUAAGUCCUAACCACCGAUCCACAACCCGCAAAUCCCGAAGGAACGCGCC
rnacentral:ncRNA from 2 species